rnacentral:rRNA from 1 species
AACGAACGCUGGCGGCAUGCCUAACACAUGCAAGUCGAACGAGACCUUCGGGUCUAGUGGCGCACGGGUGCGUAACGCGUGGGAACCUGCCUUUAGGUUCGGAAUAACUCAGAGAAAUUUGAGCUAAUACCGGAUAAUGUCUUCGGACCAAAGAUUUAUCGCCUUUAGAUGGGCCCGCGUUGGAUUAGCUAGUUGGUGGGGUAAAGGCCUACCAAGGCGACGAUCCAUAGCUGGUCUGAGAGGAUGAUCAGCCACACUGGGACUGAGACACGGCCCAGACUCCUACGGGAGGCAGCAGUGGGGAAUAUUGGACAAUGGGCGAAAGCCUGAUCCAGCAAUAGCCGCGUGAGUGAUGAAGGCCUUAGGGUUGUAAAGCUCUUUUACCCGAGAUGAUAAUGACAGUAUCGGGAGAAUAAGCUCCGGCUAACUCCCGUGCCAGCAGCCGCGGUAAA